GUUCUUCUGAUCAUCUUUCUUUGUAACUUGUCUGUUUCUUUUCUCUGGGGUUAUUCUUUGUUCAAUUUUAGUAACUUGUCAUAUCUUCUUCUUCCCCACUCUUUGUGAUUUUGUUGAUUGGUAGGAUAAUGAAAAUGGGGCUAUCUUUGUUACAGGAAUCGUAUUUGGUCCCUGACAAACUGGGAUAUUUUUUAAUUUCAAUGCAUUGUAUUCUGCCAUAUCUAGUAUUUAAAAGAAAGGAAUCAAAAUAAACCCAUUUCAAGGAUUAUAUUUGUGAUGUUUACUUGUAACCAAAAAGUUGAGGAGGACAUGUUUGAUGUUCAUCUCCCUCCACUAUUUUAUGGCCGUCCACCAAGACAGCAUAUAAUUGAGCCUGCUUGCCAUCUCCUCCAUAAAAAAGACUUCAUUCUUUUAUUAACCAGAAAUGCCCCAUUUGCCCAUCAUUGGCAUCUUGUUGUUUUCUAAUUUGGUAUCUUCUUUCUUAACAAUUUUAUACGAAAGAUUCUUAGACAUAGGAGUAUCCAAUGAGCCAAGAAACUCAUCUGUGAAUAUUACAAGGAAAAACAGCUAUGAUUGUCAGUUUGUCAAAUAAAAGAACAGCAUUAAAAAAGAUAAUAAAAAUUGAUCAUGUGAUCACUCCAUCUGAUAAAAUUAAUGUUGAAUUUGCUUCCAGGUUUGUUGGCAAGUGAAAGGAGCUUAUCAUUUGGUGCCACUACUUGGAGCUUUUGCUGCUGUUGCUAUGACAUUUUCAUCUGGUCAUAGCAAAUAUAGUUUUCUGUCUCCAAAUGGGCUAUCAUAUUUGGUGUACCACUCACUUGUCUUUGGUUUUGGUGGUUCCUUUGGCUAUUAAAGACCUUGAUUCUUCAAGAAAAAUUGCAAGACAGCAAAUGAAAACAUGGCUGAAAAGCAACAAUGUGUAGAAGGUUGGGUUCAGAUUCAGACCGAUGAUGAUAUUGAAGAAGUAUUGAAAGAGUUCAUGGAGAUGAGAGGUUUUGACACAGCCUAUGAAGAGGAAGAGCAAAGCUUGGCCUCGUCGGAUGCAAUCCAAACAAGCAAAGAUCCUGAGCAAGCUCAAUCUAUGUAGCAGAUUAAUUUGACUGAACAAUGUACACCAUUUAAACAAUUGCUUGAGUUGAACCCAAACCAGUUGGCUUAAACCAAGAACUUUCAGAAGACUGAGAAAACAAGCCUAUAUGAAACUGCCCCCAAGUUCAUCAGGAAGUUCACAAAAUCCACAAGUCUCCAGUAAGUGAUCUCUGAGUCUUAUAAUCAACAAAGAAAAUUAAAGGCUCUGUUAAAAAUUAUAGUUAGAGAAGUAAAGUUAGUUCUCUGAUGAUGUUUUCAAGCACAGAGAAAAAUAUUCCAGAAAUGUGGUGAGUUUGCUUUCAACUUCUACUGAAACUACAUAGCUUGUAACAUUUACAUUGAAAUAAAGCAAUUAACAAUUGUGAA